CCCACGGCCCCCCCGAGCGGGGCACCGGCACUGCCCGCGGGUCGGGCUGCGCGAAGCCGCGCUCGGACGCCGGGUCUCGGCCGACGAGGAAGCGCCCGGCCCGGGCUGCACUUGGGAGACUGAGGCGCGCUCAGCAUCCUCGGUCUUUUCUUCUUUUUUUCGCCCCAAUUUUGAAGUCCAGACCUUCAACUUUGCUGUCGUUCACUCUUCCUAACAACAAACCCCUUUUUCGUGCAACUUUGUGAAUUUGGAAUUGUACAUAAAAGCAUUUUAAAUAACUUUCACGUUUCAAUUAUGCUAUACAAUGCGGCAUGUUGCAAUAAGCCCUUCCGCUUAAAGGGUUUAAGUUGACAAUAUCAAAGAAAAAAAAACAAACAGGAAGCUAAUGUGACAUUUAUUUUUCCUUCUCAGAGGGAAAACUGGCAGUUUAAGUUGUGGCCGACCAAGAACCAGCCUUUUCCUGACACAGCCUCCUGCGCCAUCAGAGUAAACAGCACUGCACACCAAACUCUGGGGCGCACUUCUGCAAUCUCAGAGCUGCACAAGUGUGACCGAGCCAGGACUUUUUAACCAACAUGGCUGCUGCAGGCCUACUGAACACGGCGCUUGGCCCGCGGAGCCUUGAUCCACACUGGUGGUCCGCAGAGAUCAAGGUGGAUCCACAGGGCUGACAUAAUACACUCAAAUAUAAAAUUGUUUUUAAAUGCAGUUGAUCGAAUUUGAGAUUCAGUCACACAGGAGGAAAGCACGGAGCCUCAUGAAACCACUCUUGCCACCUCUCGGAGCGGACAGGUGCUUUAAGGAGACCUCGUAAGCUAUACAAACAGGCAGGCAGAGCGGACAGUGACAAGCAUGAGUUUCAGAGGACGCCGUUCAGGAUUGGCAAGGCAAUGAGGAAAAUGUUGAUAAUCCCAAAUGGGUAUCAAAAUCCCUACUAAUGCAACUUCACCGAGCUUAGACUUCAUGAUCAUGCCUGGAAGACAACUGCAACACAGUUUUUUCUUUAUUUUACUUGUGAAUGGAACUUGUAACUGAAUAUAACUCUAGAUAAAUCUAGAUACACACACA